rnacentral:rRNA from 1 species
GACGAACGCUGGCGGCGUGCCUAAUACAUGCAAGUUGAGCGCUGAAGGUUGGUACUUGUACCGACUGGAUGAGCAGCGAACGGGUGAGUAACGCGUGGGGAAUCUGCCUUUGAGCGGGGGACAACAUUUGGAAACGAAUGCUAAUACCGCAUAAAAACUUUAAACACAAGUUUUAAGUUUGAAAGAUGCAAUUGCAUCACUCAAAGAUGAUCCCGCGUUGUAUUAGCUAGUUGGUGAGGUAAAGGCUCACCAAGGCGAUGAUACAUAGCCGACCUGAGAGGGGGAUCGGCCAACUUGGGACUGAGACACGGCCCAAACCCCUACGGGAGGCAGCAGUAGGGAAUCUUCGGCAAUUGACGAAAGGCUUACCGAGCAACGCCGCGGGAGUGAAGAAGGGUUUCGGAUCGGAAAACUCCGUUGGUAGAGAAGAACGUUGGUGAGAGUGGAAAGCUCAUCAAGUGACGGUAACUACCCAGAAAGCGACGGCUAACUACGUG